UCGAACUCGGGGAUAACAGCGGGAGCAAUCCCUUUAGCGAAAGUGCUGCUAAUACCCGAUGAAGUCACCGGGUCGCAUGGCCUGGUGAUCAAAGAUGGGGACCGCAAGGCCUAUCGGUUUGAGAGCGGCCCAUGUCCUAUCAGCUAGUUGGCAGGGUAACGGCCUACCAAGGCGGCGACGGGUAGCGGGACUGAGAGGUUGGCCCGCCACAUCGGGACUGAGACACUGCCCGGACACCUACGGGUGGCUGCAGUAACGAAUAUUGGGCAAUGGGCGCAAGCC
rnacentral:rRNA from 1 species